GUUUCUUCUCAAAAUGAAUGGAAAUGCAGUGGCACAGCUGCCCAGGUAGAUGAUGGAGUCACUGUCUUUGGAGGUGUUUGAGGCUUUGGACACGUGGCACUGAGGGACGUGGUUGGUGGGCAUGGUGGGGGUGGGUUUAACUAGACAACCUUAAAGGUUUUGUCCAACAUUGAUGAUUCUAUGAUUCUAUGACUGGCCAUCCACAGCUGAUCAUCGGUCAACCUGGGGUAGAGAACAUUGCUCUCACUCCUCCUGUGGUGGUAGCAAAGCUUUGGCUGCCAACAACUCUUCUCCUUGUAUGGCAGUAGUAACUGAAAGCCUUCCUCUUCUUUAUGCUUGAAGAUGACUUUUACCUCACUUAUAUCCCUCAGCUGCUUGUUGUUCCCCAUUCCUGUUGCGGGGUAUGCUCCUAAUGGAGAAGAAACCAUGUGGCAUCCCUGCAGGUCUGCGUGGUACAGUGCCUGAGGGCCUUAGCAGUGUCUUUGAAGAUAAAAUGUGAUGUGAUUUUACAAGCCAUGUGGUUGGAUAGCCGUAGAAGUGGAAGAUGGUGUUUCUUUAGGCGCCAGCGACAGCCCCUCUGAAAGGUAAUGAAAAUCUGGCUCUGCUUCCCAGCACCAUGAGGAAAUGAAUGGGUAACUGCAGAUGUUACUGCUGAGGAGAAAUGGGGGGAGCAGACGCAAGAGCACCGAGAGAUGUGCUUUGUUGCUGUUGCUCUAAAUGGUAAACAAAUAAGCACUAAUCAGUAAAUCAGCCCCGACGCUGUCCUCAGAUGGCCUGUUAGUGCUAAUCCUCCUCAGCACUGAACCAGAAGCAAAAAAAAAAAAACAAAAAAACAAUCCACUGAGGGAGAAGAUUUCAAAUUUACACUAAGAAAAACUCCUCACCAGGGCUGGUUUAUAGAUGGUAGCAAACAGCACCAGAGCCUGGGCUGAGCACGAAGGCUGCGGCUGCGUUCUGAAUCUGCUGCUAAUUGAUAAACAUCACAAGCAGUUGAUUUCAGCAGAACCCCUUGAUUUAAUUACACUCUUGUAUACAAUGGGGACCUUGCAUUUUCCUAUAUGUAAUGAAUAUUAAGCUGAUAGCCCUGUAAUUUCCUGUGCUGGCUUUGCUCUCAUUUUUUGCAUAUUGAUACCACAUUUGGUUUGUUAUUUUCCAAUUUUCCAGUCUUCUAGACUUGUGCUCAGCGAGUUCUCCAUAGUAAUUGCUGUUGGCACACACGUUUCCUUCCUCAAAUCUGCUCUAACACCCUGGAAUGAAUUUUGUCUCAUCCCAGAGAUCUGCUUGGUUUUGAAUUUCUCUUAUUUAUUCAUUGCCUUUACCUCAGCAACCCUGGAAUCGGGAAGGACACUGGAUAUAAUUUCAUAUUCCACAGUUUUAAUUUCCUCUCUCAUAGCCCAGGCAGUUCCCAUCCCUCCUCCCCCCACCCCUCCACGUGCACACGUGUGUUAUUGUCUCUCUGGCUCUGUGACUUGCUGCUGUUUGUAAGCUGUUUUUCAGUAGUGCUCCCAGGGAAGCUGGUGCUGCUUGAGUCGAAAAGUCAAGAGGGACCUCAGUGCAGUAUCAUCAGAAAUCAAGCUGGUACUGACUGCAUCUUUCUGGCCUAUUUGGGAUUUAGGUACCGUUUCUCAAAGUGAUACCUAAAAUUGAACCUCCUCACAUGGGUCCUAAGGAGGACACCCAUUUUCUGAAGCCCUGGAGUUUAUGGUCUGUGAUAAAAAAUGUUGGUCACAUUUGUGAUGCCAGGCAGACAGCGCCUGCUGCUGCUGUCGCUGCUUUUUGACUUCCAGGCCUGUUUCUGUCUCUGAGAUGCUCAGAUGAUGUGCACCCUGGCACCCAUACACCUCCUGAUUCAAGGCAAGAUGCAACUUAGCCUUGAGCUUGUGGUGGUAUUUUCCCUCCUGGAUAUAGUUUCACAGGCUGUAAAUAUGCCUUAUCUGUAUUUCUUUGUGGUUUCUUUCCAGGAAUAUUUACCAAAAAGUAUUCUCAUGAUACACAAUCAUCUUCUCCAGAACAAGCACAAAGGAGAUGUGCCCAUGUCACAGUGCAACCUUCCCCCAGCUCACUUCAGUGCUUGGCCAUGCAGGGAGCAGAGCUGGCUGUGUGUGCUUGACCUGGUGGCAAAGGGUGAAAGUGUUUCUCCUGCACAAUCCUUCCUAAGAGGGGAGCGAGAAGUAACUGGGCUGAGUAUUGACCACGGGCCACAGCUGAGGCAGCAGGACAGAAGUAGUGAAAGCUGUGGAGCACAUCUGGGAGCUCUGUGUGGUUCCUGCGAAUGCAGUGUUUUAUAAACUCAUACACCUUCUCCAUCCUCCCGGCAUAAAAACUGAACUCUGUCUUGGUGCAGAUUAACUUGAAGCGAGCUCAGAUUUCAGUCACAGAGGAAAGCUGUGCUACUCCUUUUACCAGGCUUGUAUGGAGAUGAGGAGUCCAGUCUGCAGAACUGCCGAUCUGAGACUUCUACCUGUGCAAAAUUCACUUUGGAAAAAUAAUAUCACUAAAAAGAGAAGUUGGCUUGCUCUCCUAAAUUAAGCAAUUAGUCUUAGACACAGCCCUCUCUGUGAAGGAGUUGGAAGUUCAUCCUCAGAGUGAGCUGGAAGAUGGUUUAACAAGGUGUUUUACAAAGUGUAGGUGGAUAAAUUUCUGAAGCAUAUCUGUAUAAACCUGCUGAAAGGGCUGCUCAGAGGUUAAGCAGAUAACUUUAUAGAAGCUGAAUAAUCCCACUGUCUGUUGCUCUAUAUAAUCUUGCUAGAAAGCCUAUUUUUCUACAGAGCAAUGAUACAGAAGGUAUUUGUGCGUAGUGAUUACAGCAGUAGAAAUCAAUUGCACACAGCAAAUAAUUUGUUAACACAGGGCUGCACAUUGUAUCAUCAAUAAAGGGAUUCAUUUGUUGAACUGUAAUGAAGGUGAGGAGAAAGCCAACUUCACGCUGCUGUAGCUAAUCCAGACAUAAUACUGACAACAAAUACGUGUAGUGUACAAAUAUAGGUUUGCAUGUUCUUAUACUAAAGGUUUCCUUCACACCCACCAGCUCUAUACGUGCUUCUCAUCUUCAGUAUGUGCCACAAGUAUCUACUGAGCUCCUGGAGUUUAAUACGUAGCCUGAUUUUAAGGAACAUAUAGACAACCACACUGCUACAAUUAGCACAGCAAAGGAAAACUCAAUCAUGGCAGCAUCACUACGUCCACUAAGAUGCCUUCUUAUAAGAUAGAACAGCACAGAGUGGUUCAAUUGGAAGAGAUCCAUGGAGAUCACUGAGUCCAGAUGCCCCUUCAACACUGCCAUGCGUGGGGCGUCAGCCAUUUCUUGAGGGCUCAGGUGCCAAUCUGAGCUGAGCUCCGCUUCCACAAAUCCUGCUCCCUCCUUGCACGUACGCCGUGCUGUGACAGUCACAAAUCAUUCGGCAGAGAAACCUCCCCGAACACCUGUGAGGUGGGUUGGUCUAAUAAUCCUUGCUGCAGAGGAAGUUUUCUGAGCGUGCUGCUGACGGCAUGUGCUCAAGGUCACCUGGAGAGACAGCAGCUGCUGGGCUGACAAGUAGAUGUCAGCUCUGCCUCUGCUCCCAGCACUUCCUCUGCAAAGUCCUCCAGAAGGUCUGUAGCCCCUACCUGCAACAACUCAGGCAGAGGGGCUGCCUGGUGCACCCCUAUUUGCAGAGGGACAAGCAGAGUAAGGCAGGGUGUGAUGUCUCCUCUUGCAGAGAUUCUUCAGUUCUGGGUGAUUCCCACCAUCAGGGCCAGCUCCAGUGUGAUGCUCUGCACGACUGGCAGUGCUGAAGGCUGAGAUUUGCCUUCCCACAGAUCCUGUGGGACGUGUCUUUCCUUAUUCUGGGCUGGAGGAUGAGUUUAAAACGAACCUUCUGGUAGCAAAGCCAACGAAUGAGGAGGCAGAUGAAAAGACAAGCUGUGCAUCAGCGGGGGGAAAUAAUCCCUCCCAAUUCCUGCAGGUAACUGGAAAUCCCAAAGCAUGGGAUUAGCAUUCUAUAAAUAAGGUGUAAACAAACUCAGUGGCAGUGGAAUGACUAAGUCCCUUAGCCCUCUUACAAAUCAAACCUGCUCUGGAAGGAUUCAAUUAUUUCUGUGAUCUCACCUUAGCUAGGGAUUAACUGGCACUGGAGAUCAGGAAGCCCAUUAUAUUUGAAUCCGUAUAUAUACUUGCUGGGAAUAGUUUUUUGCUGCACUUGGUAGAAGGAAGAUGCAAGGCCCUAAAAUACUUUAGUUUUCAGGGUUACCACGAGGCCCAUUUGGUUUUUAUAGUCAGCCAAUAGUCCCUUUGCAUUCUUCUGGAGCAAAUGCAAGUUGUAGUUUCUUGGGCAGGGAAAAGAAUAUGAUGUUUCCCAGCAUCUGUUGGGAGCUGGGAGAGGGUAGUGAAGAACCUUGCAGUGUGCAGAGGUGUUUUCUACAAGCUAAUUAAUUAUCCUUAGGUUCAGUCAUGGGGUGGGAAGGCGGGAGGGGUGCAACAGCAAAGGCUUAAAUACAAGGAAAGAAAGGGAAAUUACAGCUGAGUUACUGCUUAAAACAGAAGCACAUGUAAAUUUUACCUUUGCUGGCCUGUUCUGGGUGGCUUUCAGACAUUUAAUUGGUUAAGACAGAUAUAUAGCACUGUCACUAUCUGCUGGGGACCCAUAUAAAUUGUCAGCAGUGGUUUCUUUUGCCAUUUCAUGUAGUCAUGUCUGAUGGCUUGAGUGUUAUGGGAAGGAAGCAAAAUACAACUCAUCCUGUCAAGAGCUGCUCUGUAUUGUAAUUGCAGUAUCUAUAAGGAGUGUCAGGGUUGGGUUAUUGGAGAUGUCAGAAACAAAACGGGAGAGAUUAAAUGAGCACAAAGAGCUGCAAAAUGAGGAGGUAAUUGCACUUCAUGAGAGUGCAAAGAUAACACUGGGGAUGUAGAUCUCGAAUAGUGCUGCAUGGAGCUGUGAGUGCAUGCCUUGCAUCCCCUGGCAAGUGAUUUGCAUGAGAGUUUUGGAUGGGCUCAUCUCCAGGUGUGGUGGCAAGUGUGCUGCUUGCUAAAGCACAGCCUCCAACCUGGGGCCAUUCUGGGCUUAUCCAGCACUUUCAUCUGCUUUAACAUGCUGCCCCAGGUGAGCCAGGCUGAGCUGCCAAGGGUCUCUGGGAAGCCAUGGUAUUAUUGAAGAGGGGGCUGAGCACAAAUGCUUUGCCUUCUUGCAGGUGCCAGUUGCUGGCUACCAUCCCAAAACAGGAGGAGAGCUCUUCUGGCUGCCACUGCCUGGGGUUUCUUCUUAUUAUGCGAAAGUCUCUGUCUGCAGAAACACUCCUGAAUGAUGUUUACUGUUAUUGGACAGUAUCUGUUUUCCUUCAGCUCCUGUUUUCUCUGUGGGGCGUUUCGGAGGAUCUGGAAGCUUGCUGCCUGUGUAAGCUAUGUCUGUAAUGACCCAUUAACUCUAAGGAGCCUUUCCAAGGCCGUUUAUAAUUGAUGGAGGAAAACAAGCUCCCCCAGGGCUCAGCUUACCCCGCCGGUCUGGGCAGUGGCUGUAGGGGUGAACCAGCUGCAUGAUCCCACAGCUCUGUUGAGCAAAAGGGGACCAGGGCAGCUGGCUUGCACUCCAGUAACUAGAGCAGUGAGAUUAAUUUGACCCCAGCAUAUGCCAAUCUAUAUGGAGGGGUUACUGCCUGCGCUCAGGCUGUCUCACAGCAAGCCUGGCAGUGCCUUCCAACUUCUUCAUGAAUAGACAGGCAGCUCUUUAGGGAGCUGCUCCCAGGACCACUUCUAAAGGUAACACAGGCUGACUGUUUUCCCUGUCUAAGUGGUAACUCUUCCUGUUUGUUGUUUGGAUCCAUUAUUUUGAUCUCUGAGCUCCUGAGCCUUCGAGCCUCUAAUGAAGCCCUUUGUGUGAUGCUGCAGUGAGGCUCAGAGGUGGCAUUGUGUCCGUGCAGGUGGGAGCAACCUUCAGGUCAGGAACAGAGCUGUGAACGGAGGAAUUGUGCUUGGUAGCCACAGAAAUCAGACAUGCAGUCCCUUUAGAAAGUCAGGGACUGCAUGGCUUUCCCGAAGACAAACAGGGAAUAAGGGGCAAAGAAAACCAAACCCCCAGCAAAGCAUUAGAAGGGAUUAACAUGGGCUGAUCCCUAAACAGCUUCUUACACUGCAGCCUGUUUUUUUCUCUGUUGCAGUCUGAUUUUUUUUAUAUAUUACUAUUAUCCUCUCUUCCUUUGUUCUGCUUUCAUUUUCCUGGAGUGAAAUAGAAAGGUCUGGGAUUAUUACUGGCAAAUUCAAAGCAGGAGUGGGGUCAUGCCAUGAAAAUAGUGUUUACAUUGACACUCUUGUGCAUCCUCGCUGUUUAUAUUCUAUUGCUUGGCAUUUCAAAGGGAUGAGUAUUACAGACCUGAAUGGCUGAUUGCUUCUGAGAUUUGGAUAUGUAUAAAACAGGAGCAGUCCUGGACAGCAGAAAACAGCUGCUUGUAUGUAUACAUACACAAUAUGCAGUUUAAUGGGGGAAUAGUUAGGAUAAGGUGGAGAAGUUCAUGCCUGUACCUGACAAACACGACUGGCAUCGUUCCUGAAGAGAGAAACCAUUACAGAACCAACGAGACAAAUGCCAAGCAGCACUCGUAGCCAGAGCAGAAGUCUUUCUGUUGAACACUCUGAUGAAUUUGGGAUUUUUGGAUUACAAAUCUCACCUGAAUUUUGUGUAGCAGCACUGUCCUAAUUAAGCCCUCAACCACCGCAGCAGUGGUCACAGCACUUAUUAGUGAAUAUAUGCAAAGACUAAAGGGACAGCCUAAAGCUUUGUGUGUGGAGUCUAUUUCCAUCAGCCUCCCAUAUUUCCUUUCUCUGGAAGUUCAAGGGGCAUAUUUUAGUUUCCCUCUAGCAAGGAGGUUAGUGUGGCUUUUCUAAGCAUAGAGGAGGAUGUGCACUGUUAUGAAAUGCCUCUAGUGUUUUUCCCCAUGAAGCUUCUUGUUUGAUUAAGGCAUGUUGCAUCAGGUAAUAUUGUUUACCAGCAGUUAAUUGGAAUCCUCCUGGGUCUAGUAACCAACUUUUUAUGGGACCUGAUCAGCUGUUAACCUGAAUUCAGAAUACCUCCCCUGGCAUGUGUAGAGUGGGCUUAGAAUUGAGCCCAAUUAGUUUGUAGUAUGGCUUCUCAUUUGCAUCGCUAUUCGAGCCCUGUAGAGUUGAGCUUUGCAGGAGAGAAGGAAUUUGGCCACAUGCCUUUCCUUUGGUGCCAAUUUGGAUGAAUUGAUGUUUGAUGUAUGUAGGUAACGCUACCAAGUCCAUUGAAGUGGACAUAGGUUAAGUAUGCACUGCAGGCAAUUAUCCAUUAGUAUAAAAGCUCCUUGGUAUAGUAUUUAGACACCGAAAUGACCAAAAAAAAACCAAACCCUGGACCUGAUGAUAGCUUUUGCAACACUAUAUAAUUCAUGCAUUAUAGCUCUGCUAUUCAUGUUUAAUAUUUCAGAAAUAAUGAAACACAUUUCAUCAGGAAAUGCAACAUGUGAAAUGCAGUGGGCAUAAAUAAACACUUAAUUGAAGCAGAGGCCUCCUUUGCAUGCUGUGAAUCUCUUCCUAACUUUAUAAAUAUCCCAGAAUAUUUGGCUUAAGAAUGUCUUUGAAAUGGUGGUAGUAAAGUGAACCAUUAGUGGAAGUUUCUAUAGCUCACAUGGAGAUGUGAGAUCGUGGCCCCAUGAGAUGCAGGCAGAGCUCCCUCUGCUCUGCAAGGGAGCAUUUCUGCUGCAAUCUGCAGAGCCAGACUUCCCUGUCAGCGGUGCCCAUGAAACCUAGAGAACUUAACUGAUGUUUGAAAGGGUGACUAGCAGUCACCACAAAUUACUUGAGAAAAUAAAUGUCUUGUGUGCAUUAAACAAGUGGCUCUUGAGCAUCAGUGUGCUUGUGAAACUCUUUUUGGGAAUUCUCUGGUGUUCAUCAUCAGUAGCACAUCAUGUUUGUUUUUUUUCCAGCAGAAGAAAUAACUGGGGAGAUGAAGGCCACGUAUUCAUGUGCUCCACACCUCCAGGAGCUUCAUGCCUUUGCAUCUCCAGUUUGUGCAUUCUCUCCCAGUGGCAUUGCACAAAUCUUAUUGUUGUCUCAGGUAGGAGUCACCUUCUCUGAGCUACAACAAAUACCACAUGCUGUUUCUUGUAUAUAAAGUGAGAAACAGAUCCUUUUGGGAAGCUUCAAGUAGUAGAUGAUGUCCAAGACAGAGUAAAGGAGCUGUGUUCAGGAGAAAUAGUUUCUCAGUGAGCUACAAGAAACAUUUUGGAGAAGAGUUCAGUUGUAAAUGUCAGUGUUGCUAUGGCUAAAGCCUGAUGAGAUGAACCCCAAAAGCUGAACUGAGGAUAAAACACUUGUAAAAUGCUUUUGGGGUGGCAUUGGUGUGGCUCCUUCCAUAGCAGUGCUGAUUUUCUGCCCUCUACCAUGAAUCUUGUGAUAGUGGUAUUUCUCAUUCAAUCACAGCUUGUGAUUUACAGCUCAUUAGAAUCUUCAAUUUCACU